rnacentral:lncRNA from 1 species
CAAGUAUAUUAAUCACCAUAUUACAAUCUCUCUAUCUUAAAAUCCCUGUGUAACGUAUCAGAGAACCAAACAACCCGUUGAGGUUCUGCACUUUGACAACAAAUGGUAGAGAAACUAUGUAGCUGCAAUGCCAGUUACUAUGAGGGGGCUCACCAAUUCUAAACAUUUAUGAAACAAGUUUAACAGAUACCCAUUGUAACAUAUAAGCUGACAAUUAUGCCAGAUUUAUAUGCAAGACGCAUGCUCUAUAUAUACAACAUCACCGACAGGGAAUAUACAGUGAUGCAUUGAAUACGCAAAAAGGUGAACAUAUAGUAAGCUGUUAGUUUGUGCCCUCCAAUGCACCCUUGGCCUUCAUUCUUCCUAUUCUCAUUUUCAAUUUUUUCCUUUGGUCCACAUUUUUUCCUAAAGUUGAAGCAUCGAACAGGAGGGAAAAACACAUAGUAUCAACAGGAUAUUCUAUAUUACGCCUGCAACAUUACCUGAGCCCGCAGUUGGAGAUGGGGAAACAUGAGCUCUUGCCCGAUGAUUAUUAUGACGGUGAUGUCUUGCCACUCGGCUGGCAAUUGGACUGGGGGCUAGACCUAAAGAUUAGAGGUUCACAUCAAUAAAAUCCCAAGAAGUCCUAAAAGAUGGUGUAAAGAAGUAACUUGUAGUACCUCGAGAUGCAGGGGAAGGAGCAGGUGCACUAGAGUGUUUCGGAUAUUGCUUAAAAUGGUGUCUAUGGGGUGCUGACAUUGGUGCAAAUGAG